ACGGGUGAGUAAUACUUAGGAAUCUGCCUAUUAAUGGGGGACAACAUCUCGAAAGGGAUGCUAAUACCGCAUACGCCCUACGGGGGAAAGCAGGGGAUCACUUGUGACCUUGCGUUAAUAGAUGAGCCUAAGUCGGAUUAGCUAGUUGGUGGGGUAAAGGCCUACCAAGGCGACGAUCUGUAGCGGGUCUGAGAGGAUGAUCCGCCACACUGGGACUGAGACACGGCCCAGACUCCUACGGGAGGCAGCAGUGGGGAAUAUUGGACAAUGGGGGGAACCCUGAUCCAGCCAUGCCGCGUGUGUGAAGAAGGCCUUAUGGUUGUAAAGCACUUUAAGCGAGGAGGAGGCUCUUCUAGUUAAUACCUAGGAUGAGUGGACGUUACUCGCAGAAUAAGCACCGGCUAACUCUGUGCCAGCAGCCGCGGUAAUACAGAGGGUGCGAGCGUUAACCGGAUUUACUGGGCGUAAAGCGUGCGUAGGCGGCUUUUUAAGUCGGAUGUGAAAUCCCCGAGCUUAACUUGGGAAUUGCAUUCGAUACUGGGAAGCUAGAGUAUGGGAGAGGAUGGUAGAAUUCCAGGUGUAGCG
rnacentral:rRNA from 1 species